rnacentral:rRNA from 1 species
UACGAAGGGGGCUAGCGUUGCUCGGAAUGACUGGCGUAAAGCGCGUGUAGGCGGCUAAGUAAGUCGGGCGUGAAAUCCCACGGCUCAACCGUGGAAGUGCACUCGAAACUGCAUAGCUAGAGUCCUGGAGAGGAAGGUGGAAUGCUUGGUGUAGAGGUGAAAUUCGUAGAUAUCAAGCGGAACACCGGUGGCGAAGGCGGCCUUCUGGACAGUGACUGACGCUGAGACGCGAAAGCG